rnacentral:rRNA from 1 species
UACGUAGGGGGCAAGCGUUGUCCGGAAUUAUUGGGCGUAAAGCGCGCGCAGGCGGUCAAUUAAGUCUGGUGUUUAAGGCUGUGGCUACAACCGACAGUUCGCACUGGGAAACUGGUUGACUUGAGUACAGAAGAGGAAAGUGGAAUUCCACGUGUAGCGGUGAAAUGCGUAGAGAUGUGGAGGAACACCAGUGGCGAAGGCGGCCUGCUGGGCAGUAGCUGACACUGAGGCGCGACAGCGUGGGGAGCAAACAGG